rnacentral:rRNA from 1 species
GACGAACCGUGCGAACGUUGUUCGGAUUCACUGGGCUUAAAGGGCGCGUAGGCGGACAAUCAAGUCAGGGGUGAAAGCCUCCAGCUCAACUGGAGAAGUGCCUUUGAUACUGACUGUCUCGAGGGAGGUAGGGGCAUGUGGAACUUCCGGUGGAGCGGCGAAAUGCGUAGAUAUCGGAAGGAACGCCGGUGGCGAAAGCGACGUGCUGGACCUCUUCUGACGCUGAGGCGCGAAAGCUAGGGGAGCAAACGGG